UACGUAGGGUGCAAGCGUUAAUCGGAAUUACUGGGCGUAAAGCGUGCGCAGGCGGUUGUGCAAGACAGAUGUGAAAUCCCCGGGCUCAACCUGGGAAUUGCAUUUGUGACUGCACGGCUAGAGUGUGUCAGAGGAGGGUAGAAUUCCACGUGUAGCAGUGAAAUGCGUAGAGAUGUGGAGGAAUACCGAUGGCGAAGGCAGCCCCCUGGGAUAACACUGACGCUCAUGCACGAAAGCGUGGGGAGCAAACAGG
rnacentral:rRNA from 1 species